AUUCCAGUAGCGCAAUGGUAUCGCGUUGGACUUCUAAUCCAAAGGUCGUUGAUUUGAGUCCCACCUGGGAUG